AUGCGGCGCCGUCGCCUUCGCCGCGCUCCGGCGGGUCCGCCAGUUCCCUCAUCCCACCGUCGCCGCCGCUGCACCUCCUACUGCGGCGUGGAGAUGCCCUUACACUCCCCGCCUCUACUCCACCGCCGACAUGAGCCACCAGCUGCCUGCAAACCUGGUACAGAUCAUGGAGCAGAGAAUGAAAUUGAUAGAGCAGAAGAGUGCAUACCUCCAGGAGCAAAUCAACCAGCGGCUGCCUCACCGGAGGAAUACUCGAGGGCUAACAAGGAGUUCCACAAGCUGGAGAGCACCAUGGAAUUGAUCAAGGAGCUACGGUCAAAGCAGAAGGAAAUUGAGGGAUUGACAUCCUUGGUGACAAACUCCGUUGAAGAGAAAGACAUGCGUGAAAUGGCAGCCGAGGAGCUCCUUGAGGCUGUUGAGGAGGAGAAACGACUGCAGCAUGAGUUGUUCAGAACUUUGCUUCCGAAAGAUGAAGCUGAUGAGAGGGACUGUAUAUUGGAGGUGCGAGCAGGAACUGGAGGAGAAGAAGCGUCUUUGUUUGCUAUGGAUAUAUUCAAAAUGUAUGAGAAGUAUUCCCAAAAUAAUGGGUGGAAAUUUGAUACUAUUGACAUAAUGGAGUCUGCUGUAAAAGGAUACAAGGAAGCUAGUGGGACCAUUUCAGGUUCUGGGGUUUACGGGAAACUUAAAUUUGAGAGUGGUAUUCAUAGAGUUCAGCGAGUGCCAGUAACUGAGAAAUCUGGACGUGUACACACUAGUGCUGUAUCAGUCGCUGUUCUUCCUCAAGCGGAUGAGGUUGAUGUCCAACUGCGUAAUGAGGAUUUGAGAAUUGAUACCUACAGAUCAGGUGGCUCUGGAGGCCAGUCUGUCAAUACGACUGAUAGUGCUGUUAGGAUAACUCAUCUUCCAACUGGAACAGUGGUUGCAAUACAAGAUGAGAGAUCACAGCAUCAGAACAAGGCCAAGGCUCUCAAAGUUCUCCGGGCAAGACUAUAUGAAUUGGAAAGGCAUAGGCUCCAUGCAGACCGGUCGAAGCUCCGAUCAGAGCAGAUUGGAAGUGGUGACAGGUCUGAACGCAUCCGGACAUACAACUUCCCACAAGGGCGUGUCACCGACCACCGUGUCGGGGUCACGCACCACUCCAUAGUGGACGUCAUGGAGGGAGAGAGCCUGGACGUCUUCAUCGAAGCACUGCUGCUGCAAGAAGAGAUGGAUGCAAUUGCUUCGUUUGCUUCUUGA
rnacentral:rRNA from 1 species